rnacentral:rRNA from 1 species
GACGAACGCUGGCGGCGUGCCUAAUACAUGCAAGUCGACCUUAGUGGCGGACGGGUGAGUAAUAUAUCGGAACGUGCCCAGUAGCGGGGGAUAACUACUCGAAAGAGUGGCUAAUACCGCAUACUAUUGGAGCGGCCGAUAUCGGAUUAGCUAGUUGGUGGGGUAAAGGCUCACCAAGGCCACGAUGCAUAGCCGACCUGAGGGGGUGAUCGGCCACACUGGGACUGAGACACGGCCCAGACUCCUACGGGAGGCAGCAGUGGGGAAUUUUGGACAAUGGGGGAAACCCUGAUCCAGCCAUGCCGCGUGUGUGAAGAAGGUCUUCGGAUUGUAAAGCACUUUAAGUUGGGAGGCGUUACCAACAGAAUAAGCACCGGCUAACUUCGUGCCAGCAGCCGCGGUAAUUC